CUGCUUGCUUCACCAGCAUGUAUACUAAUAUUUGAUACAAAGAAGAUUAGCAUGGUUGUCUGUGCAAGGAUGAUAUUUGUGAAGCAUUCCAUAUUUUU
rnacentral:snRNA from 1 species